ACCCCGUGGAAAAGAUUUUACACAAAGAAAAGCAGAUGUUGCAACAACAUUGAGAGCACUUUGCUUAGCAGUGUAUGGAAUUUUCCAUCUUGUAAGCCCAAUCACCGGUGAAAGAUACACAGAGCCAGCUUCUCUAACUCACAAAACGACUUCCAUUUCCCAUGCUCCUUUAAUUAGAUUUACUUCUUUAACCAAAGUAAUAUUGGGUUGAAGGAAGGAAGGGCGGGGUGGGGGAGACUCUACUUAAUACUGGCUUAGCAAGUUUAGAGAAGGAUGAAGGGUAAGAGGUGGAGGUCUAUUUUGGGGUUAUUUUACAGAUAAAGCUUUUCUUAUUUAUUAGGAGUUUGUUCAGUUAGAAAAAAAUAGUAACAAAAUUAAUUGCUAAAGGUUAUGCUGAGAUCAUACCUUAGUUCUAUUUUCAGCUUUGAACAGAUUAUAGGACAAUGAAGCAUAAAUAGAAAUUAGAAAAGAUUUUGAACAGACGCCCUGUAGCACUUUUUCACAUCGGGAUGAGAAAUGUGCAGAACGGCCUAUGAGGCAAAGUUAUAAAUGGAGAGGAACCAGGAUCAUGUAGGCCGCACUUGGGGAAUAGAAUGUGGGAACAGAAGGGGCCUAGAGGGGCUUCAGUGACCUCUGUUUGGUUUCUGGAAAUGUUUUAAGUUUGUCUUUUUUAAGCCUACCUUAAUUUGUAUUUGUUAACCAGAAUAGAGAGAGAGCCCCAAAGACAAACCUGAGUUUUUGCCGGAGAGAAGCCGUGAACUUACUUGCUUAUAAACUUAAUUGCAAGUGACCAUUCACUCUUCAGGGUUGUGCCCAAUACCAAGUAAGACAAAACAAACCCAUAUGUGGGUCAGUUUCCAUUUCUUUCCAUACAUUGAUGUUGAAAUAUGUUGAAAUAUGCCAUAGUUUUGUUCAACUUCUUCUCAUUAAGGAUUAGGAGAGUCUCCUAACAGGUAUUUUCAUUUUUGUCUCCUUAACUCAAUUUUGGACUAACUCAUCUCCCAAAAUUCAGCAAGACUGAGUUUUCUAAAAAACAAAGCUAGCUGUGAAAGUCUCCUGUUUAAAAUGAAUAAGGCUCCUCAUCUUCUUAGGGAAAAAAUAUCCUAGCUCCUUAUUUUCUACCAAGCCUUCUUCUCUUUCCUGGAUCAUGUUAAACCCUUCUUAAAUUCG
rnacentral:lncRNA from 1 species